GUGACAGUAACAAUGCCCUACUUGCCUGAUGGAUGAGGAAUUUGAGGAGCACAAUUGUUCUUCAUCUUUCCCCCGUGUACAAGAUUGGAAGCAAGAAGAGGAAUCAGUAACCGAGGAAAUACUAUUACAACACCAGCAGCACCUAUCAAUUCUCAGGCAUCUCCUACAUGCCAGGCCCUCCACUCCUCAUUUUAGGCUCAUUAUCUCCAAUUCACACUAUAACCCACAGAACACAUAUUCUUAUCCCCAUUUUACAAAUGAGGAAACUGAGACUCAUGGGAUUUAAAUAACUUGCUUCCUUGUAGCAGGGUCAGGAUUCAAACCUAGGUCAGCCCAAGUCCAAAGUCUGUGUGCUGAACCAUGAGGCCAACAGGAACGGGAAGUGCAAAGGAACAUUGCUAUGAUCAGCUUGUGCAGGGUACGUACUUA
rnacentral:lncRNA from 10 species